UUGCUCUGUAGUAAGCUUGAGGUCAG
rnacentral:piRNA from 1 species